GAAGCGGAUGGGGGCCGG
rnacentral:snRNA from 1 species